CAAUGUCCCAUGGGGAACUCCAGAGCCCAGGGAAUGUACAAAAAGGCAGGAAUGGACUUCCAGUGGGAUGAGGGGGCUGGAGAAAAUCUCCUUCCAUAUCACACCUUGGUCACAUCACUCAGCCCUGCUGGGAGCUCCAGGAGGUGAGAAAUGUCACCAAUGCAGAAGGGGAAAGAGCCAGUGCAUUUCAUGCUGCUGUCCCCCAGCUUUGCUGCUGUCCCCCAGAUGUUUUGCCAUCCAGUUUGGGCACUCCAGGAAGAAUUUGCUGCAUCACAAGCUGGAAGCACUGAGGAGUCCAGAGCUGCUUUCCUGAAGACCAAUAUUUUUUAUUGUCUUCUGCCCAAUUAAUGCAGUAACCAAUCCAGGAGCCUUUAUUUCCCCAUUUGACAUCUUACACUGGCAAGAAAAGCUGAAAUCCCUUGAAAUUCAGAAUGCUGAGAAGUGAAUGUGAGACAGACUACUCUGUUUUCAUUUCCCAAGGAUCAGCUUGAAAGGACACUCGAGUGAAUUCAAGCAUUGGCAUUUGCUCUUCCUGGACUGGAUCAGCACAAGUUCAUCAGAACAUGCCCAGGAUUCCUGUUCCUGAUGGC